GGGCGUAUGGCUCAGUGGUAGAGCGCUCGCUUUGCAAGGAUUUUAGCGCUAAGCCUAGUGCAGAAGUCUUCAACAACAUGCGAGAGGUCCGGGUUUCGAUCACCCGUCCGUCCA